ACCCUGACCGAGCAACGCCGCGUGAGUGAAGAAGGUUUUCGGAUCGUAAAGCUCUGUUGUUAAGGAAGAACGAGUGUGAGAAUGGAAAGUUCAUGCUGUGACGGUACUUAACCAGAAAGGGACGGCUAACUACGGGCCAGCAGCCGCGGUAAUACGUAGGUCCCGAGCGUUGUCCGGAUUUAUUGGGCGUAAAGCGAGCGCAGGCGGUUAGAAAAGUCUGAAGUGAAAGGCAGUGGCUCAACCAUUGUAGGCUUUGGAAACUGUUUAACUUGAGUGCAGAAGGGGAGAGUGGAAUUCCAUGUGUAGCGGUGAAAUGCGUAGAUAUAUGGAGGAACACCGGUGGCGAAAGCGGCUCUCUGGUCUGUAACUGACGCUGAGGCUCGAAAGCGUGGGGAGCGAACAGGAUUAGAUACCCUGGUAGUCCACGCCGUAAACGAUGAGUGCUAGGUGUUAGGUCCUUUCCGGGACUUAGUGCCGCAGCUAACGCAUUAAGCACUCCGCCUGGGAAUACGACCGCAAGGUUGAAACUCAAAGGAAUUGACGGGGCCCGCACAAGCGGUGGACUGUGGUUUAAUUCAAGCA
rnacentral:rRNA from 1 species